GGUCAUGGCCAAACGUCCUUGUCAAAGCCUGAUCUGGUCUGAUUUCAGAAGCUAAGCAGAGCCAGGCCUGGUUAGUACUUGGAUGGGAGAGCAACAGUGGGGCAACACGCCCCACAUUGCCU
rnacentral:rRNA from 1 species